CCAAAACCCCUUCCCUUCUCCUUCACUUUCACGUGAACCAGGACCCUCAACCCUCAACCUCAUUGUUGCUUCCGCCACGCCGCCAAACCAGUCGUCGGAGACCACCGUUGUCCCUCACCGCAGCUUCAAACGCCGGUAACUCCUCCAUCUCUUGCUUCAUUGUUCUUGCUUCUCCUUCGUUCUUAUUCUUAUCCUCUUGGUUGUUUUUGUUGCUCUCUGCCGCCACCACCACUGCGCAACUGGUUGCGCCGCACCAUCACAGCCACCGUGCACUGUUGCUGCACCGCCCAACUCGCCAACCAACGUUUUCCAUCAUCCUCUUUCUUGUUUCUUCAUUUUCACGACAGCAGCCAAGCACGACUAAGUGCGACCACCGUAGUCACCACCACCAGGCUCCAGCCGCGUCGCCCGUUCCCCGCGACCACCGCCCUGUGCCGCGCCGCCUGUGCUCCGCCGGCCAGCCUCCUCUCUCCUCUUUAAUUCUUGGUGGAGAAUUCUCCGUAGGCGACUUUUGAAUUAUUAAAGUGGUCUUGCAGUUUGUUUACACAAGUCUCUAAGGAUCAAUAAGCAUUGUCCAUCUGCAGGUUUGAAGAUGUUGCAUCAUUGGGAUCGGGAAUAGAGAGCUUGUAUUUAGUUUUGAUUUGCUAAGUUGACUUGGGUUUGUUUAAUUGGACUUUAAACUGGUCGUACUAUUUAUAUUUCCUUAUUUUUUUGUUUAUUGGUUUUUGGGAUUAAACCUGUAAUCGAUUAUUUAUAAACCUAAAAUUAGUUUUA